GCAGCAGCCGCGGUAAAACAGAGGGUGCGAGCGUUAAUCGGAUUUACUGGGCGUAAAGCGUGCGUAGGCGGCUUCUUAAGUCGGAUGUGAAAUCCCUGAGCUUAACUUAGGAAUUGCAUUCGAUACUGGGAAGCUAGAGUAUGGGAGAGGAUGGUAGAAUUCCAGGUGUAGCGGUGAAAUGCGUAGAGAUCUGGAGGAAUACCGAUGGCGAAGGCAGCCAUCUGGCCUAAUACUGACGCUGAGGUACGAAAGCAUGGGGAGCAAACAGGAUUAGAUACCCCAGUAGUCCCUGUCUCUUAUAC
rnacentral:rRNA from 1 species